rnacentral:rRNA from 1 species
CGCUGGCGGCGUGCCUAAUACAUGCAAGUCGAGCGAACAGAUAAGGAGCUUGCUCCUUUGACGUUAGCGGCGGACGGGUGAGUAACACGUGGAUAACCUACCUAUAAGACUGGGAUAACUUCGGGAAACCGGAGCUAAUACCGGAUAACAUAUUGAACCGCAUGGUUCAAUAGUGAAAGGCGGCUUUGCUGUCACUUAUAGAUGGAUCCGCGCCGUAUUAGCUAGUUGGUAAGGUAACGGCUUACCAAGGCAACGAUACGUAGCCGACCUGAGAGGGUGAUCGGCCACACUGGAACUGAGACACGGUCCAGACUCCUACGGGAGGCAGCAGUAGGGAAUCUUCCGCAAUGGGCGAAAGCCUGACGGAGCAACGCCGCGUGAGUGAUGAAGGUCUUCGGAUCGUAAAACUCUGUUAUCAGGGAAGAACAAAUGUGUAAGUAACUGUGCACAUCUUGACGGUACCUGAUCAGAAAGCCACGGCUAACUACGUGCCAGCAGCCGCGGUAAUACGUAGGUGGCAAGCGUUAUCCGGAAUUAUUGGGCGUAAAGCGCGCGUAGGCGGUUUUUUAAGUCUGAUGUGAAAGCCCACGGCUCAACCGUGGAGGGUCAUUGGAAACUGGAAAACUUGAGUGCAGAAGAGGAAAGUGGAAUUCCAUGUGUAGCGGUGAAAUGCGCAGAGAUAUGGAGGAACACCAGUGGCGAAGGCGACUUUCUGGUCUGUAACUGACGCUGAUGUGCGAAAGCGUGGGGAUCAAACAGGAUUAGAUACCCUGGUAGUCCACGCCGUAAACGAUGAGUGCUAAGUGUUAGGGGGUUUCCGCCCCUUAGUGCUGCAGCUAACGCAUUAAGCACUCCGCCUGGGGAGUACGACCGCAAGGUU